GGCUGUGUGGCAGAGUGGUUAUGCAGCGGCCUGCAAAGCCGUAUACGUCGGUUCAAAUCCGACCUCAGCCUCCU
rnacentral:tRNA from 1 species